AUCCAUGUUGGGGCGUCAUAAGAAAAAUAAAAAAGUAAAGUGAGACUAAUUGAAGGGGACUUGGGUUAAUUUAAGGGAGAAAAUGGGACUUUUUGUUUAUCUUCCACCAAUGUCUGAAGCAGAGGAGAGCAAAAUGGAAGUGAUGGUUUGGGAAGGAGCUCUGACUCUCAGCAAAGAUUGGAUGGGAAGAGUUUGAAACAGGAGCCAGGGUGACCAGGGGCCGGAUUUUGUAAUCACUACUGCAAAUGAUCAUCCUAGCCUGGUGGGAAGGUGACAACAUGCCCUGAUGUGUCUGUCUGCUCACCUGUCGCACAGGCACUUAAAAACCAAUAUUUCUACAACUUUGUCAAAUCUAAUAUCUAUCAUCUCUCUGCUUGUUCCACCAAUUAUUUUGUCACCCAAAUCUUGGAAUUUUACUUAACUCUAUCUUGUCCCUCAUUUCAACCAUUCAGUUAAAAGAUUCAAUGCAACUCUGCUUGGUAAAUAUUCUCUUUUCUAAUCUCACUGCAAAUAUUCAUUCAGCAUCUACUCUGAAGUAGGUACCAUGCUAGUGCUGGGGUAUUGUGGAGGAUAUGAGACCCUCCAGUCCAGCAAACAAGGCAGACAUUGAGCAAAUUUCCUGGUUGCAGUCACUGCUAGAGAAGGACUGUUCUAUGGCAUAUCACACAGGUGUGAAUCCCAAUCAGAAAGAUCUAUGAACAUUUUCCUGGAGAAAUAACACUGAGACGGAAGCUUGAAAGGAUGAAAAUGGGUUAAGUGAUGAAAGAGAAGAAAAAACAAAUCCAGAAACAAGGGUACCAUCUGCCACCGUCCUGAGUCAGAAAAGGAUGUGGUGUGUAUGGAGAAAACAGAAUUCCAUGGCACUUACAGAUCUAAACAUCUCAUGCUACUGGAGUAUUUGUUGAUGUAAAGAAUUUUCUAAGAAAAAUAUCAACCAACAACAGAAUUAGUGUGAGAAAGUCAUAAAGAAUUAGAGGGGAUAUAAAAUGAACUCAAGAUUUUAAAAAAUUAACAUGAUUUGUAAUAGACCUUAUAAGAGGAAAAGAAUUAAGAGAUCAUGGAGGGAAGCCUGCAGGGAA